rnacentral:rRNA from 1 species
CCUACGGGUGGCAGCAGUGGGGAAUAUUGGGCAAUGGGCGCAAGCCUGACCCAGCAACGCCGCGUGAAGGAAGAAGGCUUUCGGGUUGUAAACUUCUUUUAUCAGGGACGAAGCAAGUGACGGUACCUGAUGAAUAAGCCACGGCUAACUACGUGCCAGCAGCCGCGGUAAUACGUAGGUGGCAAGCGUUAUCCGGAUUUACUGGGUGUAAAGGGCGUGUAGGCGGGAGUGCAAGUCAGAUGUGAAAACUAUGGGCUCAACCCAUAGCCUGCAUUUGAAACUGUACUUCUUGAGUGCAGGAGAGGCAAGCGGAAUUCCGGGUGUAGCGGUGAAAUGCGUAGAUAUCGCGCAGAACCCCGAUGGCGAAGGCAGCGUGCCGUGCCGCCACUGACGCUGAGGCACGAAAGCGCGGGGAUCGAACAGGAUUAGAUACCCCGGUAGUC